rnacentral:rRNA from 1 species
CCUACGCGAUGCAGCAGUGGGGAAUAUUGCACAAUGGGGGGAACCCUGAUGCAGCGACGCCGCGUGGGUGAGGAAGUACUUCGGUAUGUAAAGCCCUAUCAGCAGGGAAGAAAAUGACGGUACCUGACAAAGAAGCCCCGGCUAACUACGUGCCAGCAGCCGCGGUAAUACGUAGGGGGCAAGCGUUAUCCGGAUUUACUGGGUGUAAAGGGAGCGUAGACGGCGUGCCAAAUCUGGUGUGAAAGGCCGGGGCUCAACCCCGGGACUGCAUUGGAAACUGGCAUGCUGGAGUGCCGGAGAGGUAGGCGGAAUUCCUAGUGUAGCGGUGAAAUGCGUAGAUAUUAGGAGGAACACCAGUGGCGAAGGCGGCCUACUGGACUGUGACUGACGCUGAGGCUCGAAAGCGUGGGGAGCAAACAGGAUUAGAUACCCCAGUAGUC